AGACUGAGGAAGUGGCAGAGCCCCCAGGAAGGGCCAUCUCUGUCCUUUGCGAUGGGGCUCUAAGAAGCCCCUCGUUAGAGGAAGGUGCUUUCGUUCAACGCUGAGCUGCAGACAUGAAAACUGAUUCUGGGAAAGAUUGAACAACAUGACCACGAUCCCACAGCUGUAAGUGGCAGAGCUGAGGCUCAAACCUAUGUCAGCCUGACCUCAAAGCCUGCAGGUGCUCUUAAAGCUGGUACAACCACUCCUGAAUUUGAUGUGUCUCCUGAUCCUUUUUCUAGGCCUAGAGGAGGAGCAAACCAGGACUUCCUCAGGUACCUGGGCCUCACCUGCCCCAGAGAAUGAAGAGAGCAGUCUCACCGUGCAGUCUGGGCAAGACACCAGCAUGGUAAGGUGACAGCAGCAGCUCUGGCAGUUACCUUGAUCCACGCAGCUCAGAAGCAGCGGGCAGUACCGAGCCCUGGAGGCCAGGCGGGCUCAGGAUCUGGCCAACUUCUUUACUCCUCACCUGUGUCUGGUCCAGGUCUCUCCUGGGUCCCAGGGGACUUGGUGGAUGCUCAGUCACUGCUGUACCGUUGUCAUGACAGCAGCUGGAGGAAAGGUAACAUGUGGCUCUGAGUAUGACCUUAGGCCACCUGCCUUGCCCCUUCAGCUGGCUGAGGGCUCUAGUGGGGCCUAACACUGUUUUAUAAGGUAGCUGAAUAAACAUCUGAAACCCUGAUUAAAGAAGUAAGAGCCCCAAACACAAAACCUUCCAAGAUAAGAAUAUAGGACAGGGCUCCUUCACUUACUCUUUUAAAGAUUUGUUUGUUACCUACUGUUACUGAACCAAACUUGGGUCCACUUGCCCUUGCACGGUAAAGCCAAUCUACUGACACUGGGUGUGAUGAAGGAAAGUGCAGCGUUUAUCGCAGGGCGCCAAACAAGGAGUCCAGGCAGCUAGUGCUUAACGAACCCAAACUCUCCAAAGGCUUUCAGGGAAAGGUUUUUAAAGAUAGGGCGAGGGAGAGGGUUGAGGGGUGUGUGGUCAGCUCAUGGACAUUCUUCUAAUUGGUUGGUGGUGAGGUAAUUGGGAGUCAACAUCAUCAACCUUCUGGUUCCUACGGGUCUAGGGUCUAUGUGUUGGUGGUCAGCAUAGAGUUAACUUCUUCCCCCUGGUGAGAUUUUCAGUGUCUGCAAAACAGCUCAAAGGACAUGGCUCAGAAUACUAUAUAUAGCCCUUGAGAAGGAACUAAAGUUCCCUGACUGUUUAAUGGCUAAACUAUUAUUAUUUUGUCUUGCUUGACUGUUUUCCUUUGUUUCUGCAUUUUCUCACUUCUCUGAUUAAAUUUAUUCUUUGGAACUCGGGGAGGGCCUGGGAGCCUAAAGUUU